rnacentral:rRNA from 1 species
UACGUAGGGGGCUAGCGUUGUCCGGAUUUAUUGGGCGUAAAGAGCUCGUAGGCGGUCUGUCGCGUCGAAUGUGAAAACCCGGGGCUCAACCCCGGGCCUGCAUUCGAUACGGGCAGACUAGAGUUCGGUAGGGGAGUCUGGAAUUCCUGGUGUAGCGGUGAAAUGCGCAGAUAUCAGGAGGAACACCGGUGGCGAAGGCGGGACUCUGGGCCGAUACUGACGCUGAGGAGCGAAAGCGUGGGGAGCGAACAGGAUUAGA